rnacentral:rRNA from 1 species
ACGCUCGACACCUACGGGAGGCAGCAGUGAGGAAUAUUGGUCAAUGGGCGCAGGCCUGAACCAGCCAAGUAGCGUGAAGGAUGACUGCCCUAUGGGUUGUAAACUUCUUUUAUAUGGGAAUAAAGUUUCCACGUGUGGAAUUUUGUAUGUACCAUAUGAAUAAGGAUCGGCUAACUCCGUGCCACAGCCGCGGUAAUCUGAGCGGGCUGGCAAGGC